GCCGGGGUGGCAGAGAGGCACUGCGCGAGCCUGGAGAGCUCGUGUCCCUUUGGGACGCGUGGGUUCAAGUCCCACCCCCGGCG
rfam:Archaeoglobus sulfaticallidus PM70-1, complete genome.